rnacentral:tRNA from 4 species
GCACUCGUAGCUCAAUUGGAUAGAGCAUCGGUCUACGGAACCGAAGGUUAAUGGUUCGAGCCCAUUCGAGUGCA